UGCCCAGCAACUCCUAUCCCUACCUCCUCGUGGUACCGGUCGGGGUAGCGAAGAUCGGGAAACUAACCCCGAUGAGAACUCUGGUCGUAUGCUGGCAGGGCAGG
rnacentral:ribozyme from 1 species